rnacentral:rRNA from 1 species
UGGGGAAUAUUGGGCAAUGGGCGAAAGCCUGACCCAGCGACGCCGCGUGGGCGAUGAAGGCCUUCGGGUUGUAAAGCCCUGUCAUGCGGAAAGAACGACCCUGUGACGCAUACUCACAGGGAGUGACGGUACCGCAGGAGGAAGCACCGGCUAACUCCGUGCCAGCAGCCGCGGUAAUACGGAGGGUGCAAGCGUUGUUCGGAAUUAUUGGGCGUAAAGGGCGCGUAGGCGGUAAUGUAAGUCAGAUGUGAAAUACUUCGGCUCAACUGAAGAACUGCAUCUGAAACUGCAUAACUAGAGUACAGAAGAGGGAAACGGAAUUCCCGGUGUAGAGGUGAAAUUCGUAGAGAUCGGGAGGAAUACCAGUGGCGAAGGCGCCCUUCUGGACGGUUACUGACGCUGAGACGCGAAAGCGUGGGGAGCAAACA